rnacentral:miRNA from 1 species
GUCUCUGCACCUAUUACUGAAA